rnacentral:SRP_RNA from 1 species
GCCAGGCAUGGUGGCACAUGCCUGUAAUCCCAGCUACUAGGGAGGCUGAGGCAGGAGAAUUGCUUGAACCCUGGAGGCAGAGAUUGCAGUGAGUUGAGGUCGUGCCAUUGCACUCCAGCCUGGGCAACAAGAGUGAAACUCCGUCUCAAAAAAAAAAAAAAAAAGAAAAGAAAAGGAAAAAAGAAAAAGAAGAUGCUGUGGUGUCUGAGGUUAACACAGUAGCUGGGACGAUAGGCCUGGCUAAAUUAGAAUCUUCAUACCAGACACCACAGCAUCGUCCAUCACAAUAUGGAGAAUCCUUGAGACUAGGAGGGCUGCAGUGUGCUAUACCAAUCACUUGUCUGCACUAAGUUCAGAAUCAACAUGGUGACUUCCUGAGGGCAGAGGACAACCAGGUUACCUUGGUAGGGGUGUAAAGGCCCAGGUUGGAAAGAAAGUAGGUCAAAACUUUCGUGCUGAUGAGUAGUGCAAUUGUGCCUGUGAAUAGCCAUUGCACUCAGCUUGGGCAACAUAGCAAGACCUGUAUCUU